UUAAAAGUCCUUCUGGGAAUGCUUUGAGAUGGUCCUGCGGCGCAUUAGCUAGUUGGUGAGGUAGUAGCUUACCAAGGCGACGAUGCCUAGCUGAGCUGAGAGGCCAAACAGCCACACUGGGACUGAGACACGGCCCAGACUCCUACGGGAGGCAGCAGUAGGGAAUUUUCGGCAAUGGGGGAAACCCUGACCGAGCAAUGCCGCGUGAAUGAUGAAAUUCUUCGGAAUGUAAAAUUCUGUUGUGAGGGAAGAAAGGUAGUAUCAGGAAAUGGGUAUUACUUGACGGUACCUUACUAGAAAGCCCCGGCUAACUAUGUGCCAGCAGCCGCGGUAAUACAUAGGGGGCGAGCGUUAUCCGGAAUUAUUGGGCGUAAAGCGUGCGUAGGCGGUCGUUUAAGUCUGUCGUGAAAGCCCACAGCUUAACUGUGGAGGGUCGAUGGAAACUGGAUGGCUUGAAUCUAGAAGAGGUAAGUGGAAUUCCAUGUGUAGCGGUAAAAUGCUUAGAUAUAUGGAGGAACACCAGUGGCGAAGGCGGCUUACUGGUCUAGCAUUGACGCUGAGGCACGAAAGCGUAGGUAGCAAACAGGAUUAGAUACCCUGGUAGUCUACGCUGUAAACGAUGAGCACUAAGUGUCGGACGUAAGUUCGGUGCU
rnacentral:rRNA from 1 species